GAGAGAGGCAUGAAGCAGUGGGAACUGCUAAUUCCUACCCCCUCGGUUAGAGCCCGAGGCUCACUCG
rnacentral:tRNA from 1 species